UCCAUACCACCUACACAGAUGAAACAGAUGCAGCUUACCAAACAUGGCACAUGGUUUCAUUCAAAUCUAUUUACUGAUCUUACCCAUGAAUAGAAGCUGACUAAAAUUAACUGACCUAAAACGAAAUGCAUGAUGUUAGGAGUGAGGGAAUUACCAGAAGAAACCUCGCAAUCGCCAACCGUUCCUCCUUCUCCUUCGUAGUCUCCGGCUUUCCAAAACUGUUUGGAGUUCUGACAAUUCACCAUUAGACUUCCGUUGUCCCUUGACUCCGGCGGCCGCAUGAUGGCCAAGGCUUUGGAAGUCUCAGUCCGAGAAAGAGGGGCCAAGAAGUUAUCCGGUAACUUCACUCCUGACUCAUUCAACUUCCUCCUCUUUUUGUCUGAACUUCCACCGGUACUACUGGCGCGGGCAUUGCGGCGGCCAUCCUCGGAGUCAGAGUCGGAGUCGCUGCUAGUGAGGUCGAUGAUCACGGAAGAAGAGGGUAUAGGAGAUCUAUCAGCGGCUCGAUUAG
rnacentral:lncRNA from 1 species